GGUCAGUGUGAGGUUCAACUGGAAACAGAGCCGGCUUUCAGGCCCUGAGGAAUCCACGUGAGGGUCCAUCAGGGCUGCCUGCGGGGGAUUGAGGAUUAUCAAAGAAAAAGGGGGCUUGAAACCUAGCAGGACCCUGCAGAGAUCUCCCAGGAAGUAAGACCCUUAUCCAGGUGGAGGUCAAGCUGAGCACAAGCCGGUACAUCCCAGACUGGUUAGAACCAGAAGAUGGGGAAACCGAGGCACAGAGAAGCAAAGUGAUCUUCCCAGAGCCACACAGCCAGUGGGUGGUAGGGCCAGGCUCCAAACCCAGGUCUUUCUGAGCCCCGAGCCCACUGCACCAUCUUGCCUGGCCCUCCUGAGAUUGGGUUCGAGACUUCUCCACGUGCUGUCCCAUCACAGCACUUACUAUGCAGUCUCCCCCACUAGACUAGGAGCUGGGGGUGCCAGAAACUGCAUUCUGAUCACUGUUAUCCCUUCUUUCUAGGAAAUAGGCCCAUAGAUGAUGCUCCAAAAGAUACUAUUUAGGUGAAUUAAUGAAGGCUGAUCUUAUAUCCACUGCUCUUUUCUGAAUAUUGCUGCUUUCCUUAUAACUUACUGUUUGUUCACUGUCUGCUUUCCCCUACUAGAAGAUGCAUAGAAAGACAUUUUGUUCAUGACUGGAUUCUCAAAGCCUAGAACAAUGCUUGGGGAACUAGUAAGGGUCCAAUAAAUACCUGUUAGUAAAUAAACUAAAAUAGCUGCUCGGACAAGCAAAUUCUACUUUUUUGUGACAUCAUAGUAUUGUUUUCUGAUGCUGAUCUCAGUAAGAUAAUGUUCAACAACUGUUAACACUGUAACGUGGGUAAGCGCAGAAUGCUCUGGCUUCCUGAGUUAAACAUUCACUUGCAGCUGAAUGACGACUGGAAGGGGAACCACAGGAAUGCUGUCCCCGAGAGCACUGUCUCAGGAAGGAGACACUGGUGGUUGACACAGGCAGCCUGUGGACUCUACACUCUACAGCUCUGGUCCAGCACCGGCAAAAUCACGGCUAGAGACCACUGUGCUCGUGACUUCCAUCUCAUUCACCUUCCUUUCACCAGAUGCAAUUCUUGAAGCAGAAAAAUAAAACCUGUUUGUAAUAAUUAUCAGCUUCAUUUUCUUAGGAGUCAAGUGUCUCUUGCCAGAACUCUUCUAGAUCAAAGGUACUGUUUUUUCCUCUCUGUAAACCAGUAUUAUGUGCUCCAUUAAAUAUUUUCUUUUGGUAUAAAA